UACAGAGGGUGCGAGCGUUAAUCGGAAUUACUGGGCGUAAAGGGUGCGUAGGCGGCUAUAUAAGUGAGAUGUGAAAGCCCCGGGCUUAACCUGGGAAUGGCAUUUGAGACUGUAAGGCUGGAGUGCGGCAGAGGGGGAUGGAAUUCCGCGUGUAGCAGUGAAAUGCGUAGAUAUGCGGAGGAACACCGAUGGCGAAGGCAAUCCCCUGGGCCUGCACUGACGCUCAUGCACGAAAGCGUGGGGAGCAAACAGG
rnacentral:rRNA from 1 species